rnacentral:rRNA from 1 species
AUUGAACGCUGGCGGCAUGCCUUACACAUGCAAGUCGAACGGCAGCACGGGAGCAAUCCUGGUGGCGAGUGGCGAACGGGUGAGUAAUGUAUCGGAACGUGCCCAGUCGUGGGGGAUAACGUAGCGAAAGCUACGCUAAUACCGCAUACGAUCUAUGGAUGAAAGCGGGGGAUCGCAAGACCUCGCGCGAUUGGAGCGGCCGAUAUCAGAUUAGGUAGUUGGUGGGGUAAAGGCUCACCAAGCCGACGAUCUGUAGCUGGUCUGAGAGGACGACCAGCCACACUGGGACUGAGACACGGCCCAGACUCCUACGGGAGGCAGCAGUGGGGAAUUUUGGACAAUGGGCGCAAGCCUGAUCCAGCAAUGCCGCGUGCAAGAUGAAGGCCUUCGGGUUGUAAACUGCUUUUGUACGGAACGAAACGGCGAGCUCUAAUACAGUUUGCUAAUGACGGUACCGUAAGAAUAAGCACCGGCUAACUACGUGCCAGCAGCCGCAGUAA